CUACCCCAGGCACCGCUGCUCACGGCUGGCAGACCAUGUCCCCAGGCCCACAUGGGUACUGCCCCAUCCUCAAUCACACUGAGGCCUAAUCUACUGUUGCCUGUAAAGCCUUUACCCAGCCCCAAGCCUAAAAUGCUCCCUGACCCAUAGCUGUCUCCUGGGUUGGGUCUUUUGUUCCAGGGUGACAGAAGGCGGCGGCUGCUGCUGCUUCUGGUUCAUGAAGCUGCACGUGUGUUAAGACAGGCAGGGUGGUGGGGAAGGACAGCACUGACCACAUCUGAGGCACUAGGCGGUAUGCGUCCCUUCGCUUCGGAGGACACCAAAAUGUAAAAUCAGAAGCCCCACAGCCUCUCAGUACUUCAUCUGGACCCCCUUCCACAAGAAAGCUAGGGUUGGGGUUCCAAACAAGUCGCUGUCCUCAUGAGGAAAAACACCCUGAAGCCCAGAUCUUGGUAAAGACAACAUUGAUUUCCAGCUCCAAGUCAUGUGGUUAAAUGCUAUCCCAAUGCAUUUAAAUAAAAACCUUCAGUUUCAGGUGAAGAGAUCAAGGUUGCCUACAGUUGCCAAUCCCCAGAAAAAUGUGGAUUAAUUUUUAGCCAGAAAGGAUGCUUCCCUCGGCAUUGCCUAACAUUAAUUUAUUCAUCCAAGAUGGCAGAAGAGGAACUGUUGAGAUUAAGUUGUCCAAUUUCUUCAAUGCACCUCAGGGACUAAAGUCAGGGGAGAAGCUACGUCUGACUUAGGAAAACUCAGUAAAGUCUCAUUUGUUAAAGUGGCACAAACGAGACAGAGAUAGAACAGAUCAUGAAUUUGAACCCUGGGCCAUGGCUCUGUCCACUUCUAGGCAACAGGCUUGCUCUAGGUUUUAGGCUGGAGCUGUAGCCAGAGCCAACAGAUCAACAGGUCAGAGAAGGAACACCUAUUGGCCUCCCCAUCCCUAUGGCAUUAAGAACUGACUUUCUCUGUCUUGAACUGACAGUGCACAAAAGAAAUUCAAUUUUAAGGAACAUUUACUGAACCUCUGUUGAUGGGGCUCUGCAUUAGCCAUAUUCAACAAAGUAGUUCAGUACAUUCUCACAAUGAUGCUGUAGCCUUAGUUUUCUCAUCUGUAAGAUCAGAACCAAGCAAACACACCCCAUCCCCUGGAGGCUGCAUCACACACCCCUGGAGCAAGACUGAUGUGGUGUGGAUUAUGGCUGACAGACAUCUGCUGUGUGAUAGUGGGCUUAUUAGUUGCCUAGAACCUCAGGUUUCAACACUAGAUGGAUGCAGGGAUUAAAUGGAAGGUCAUAUGGGAAGAGCUUACCAUUGGGCCAGACAUAUUAAACAAGGUCUUUCUCUCCCAACUCCAGAUGCAGUGCUCCUGGGAGCUGUGGCACAGCCAGAUGCUGGAUCCUGGAGGUAAAGGUCGGAAAGACGCCUGGAUUCAGAGAAGAUGGGUGAGGACAAAGGAGGAACAAGAGAGGUACAGAGGAAGAACCACGAGUAGUUCUCGUGAGUAGAAAAGAGUCAAAAAUAAUGACACUAACCGGGCUGCUUGGCUGCCUCCUCCACACUGGAGUUCCCGUCUCGAUCUGGAACCGCCGUUGGGAGGAACAUGCUGCUGGGCAUCACCAUCUCAGGG